CAGUCGCCGCGGUAAUACGAAGGGGGCUAGCGUUGCUCGGAAUCACUGGGCGUAAAGGGUGCGUAGGCGGGUCUUUAAGUCAGGGGUGAAAUCCAGGAGCUCAACUCCAGAACUGCCUUUGAUACAGAAGAUCUUGAGUUCGGGAGAGGUGAGUGGAACUGCGAGUGUAGAGGUGAAAUUCGUAGAUAUUCGCAAGAACACCAGUGGCGAAGGCGGCUCACUGGCCCGAUACUGACGCUGAGGCACGAAAGCGUGGGGAGCAAACAGGAUUAGAUACCCGGGUAGUCCCUGUCUCUUAUAC
rnacentral:rRNA from 1 species